rnacentral:sRNA from 1 species
CUGGUAAAAAGGUGAAAACCUUUUUACCCCCAAAACUCUGUGCAAUGGAGCACACGGCUUAUGCAUCGAUGAAGCCCGCGGCAAAAAGCGAUAUGUAAUGAGAUUCGUUAGCCUCGCGAUUCAUCAAAUUGGUGAACACAUACUGGACCUCUUCGGAGGUACUUGCGUUAGAGUGCUAGUUUUAUAUCAAUUGAUCCUGGUAAAAGGUGUUUGAAUCGUUAGGUUCUUACGCCCUAGCCGGUGUAGCCGGAUUCUCUCUGAGAAACCGGAUUGUUCCUGAAAGACUGUUUAUCAGUCUAUUAGGUCAAUCGAUUGUUCCUAAAAUAUUGAUAAGCAGUAUUUUAGGUCUCCUGAUAGACUGAUAAGCUGUCUAUUAGGCUACUGAAAGACUGUUUACCAGUCUAGUAGGGCAAUCACUUUUUUUUAAACUGGCCUCUAAUGUGAGAGGGUACCCCUGGUUUAGCAUAU